AUUGAACGCUGGCGGCAGGCCUAACACAUGCAAGUCGAACGAGUGGCGGACGGGCGAGUAAGGUCUGGGAACCUGCCUGAUGGAGGGGGCUAACUACUGGAAACGGUAGCUAAUACCGCAUAACAUCAGUUGUGCUCUGAUGGGAUUAGCUAGCUGGUGGGGUAACGGCUCACCAAGGCGACGAUGCCUAGCUGGUCUGAGAGGAUGACCAGCCACACUGGAACUGAGACACGGUCCAUACUCCUACGGGAGGCAGCAGUGGGGAAUAUUGCGCAAUGGGCGCAAGCCUGAUGCAGCCAUGCCGCGUGUAUGAAGAAGGCCUUCGGGUUGUAAAGUUCUUUCGUCGGGGAGGCGUUACCUGCAGAAGAAGCACCGGCUAACUCCGUGCCAGCAGCCGCGGUAAUAC
rnacentral:rRNA from 1 species